rnacentral:rRNA from 1 species
UAGUGUAGGCGGUGCUCUAAGUCUGGUGUGAAAUCUCCCGGCUCAACUGGGAGGGUGCGCCGGAAACUGGAGUGCUCGAGUAUGGGAGAGGUAAGCGGAAUUCCUGGUGUAGCGGUGAAAUGCGUAGAUAUCAGGAGGAACACCUGUGGUGUAGACAGCUUACUGGACCAUCACUGACGCUGAGACACGAAAGCGUGGGUAGCAAACA